rnacentral:rRNA from 1 species
UAGGGAAUCUUCGGCAAUGGGGGGAACCCUGACCGAGCAACGCCGCGUGAGUGAAGAAGGUUUUCGGAUCGUAAAGCUCUGUUGUUAAGGAAGAACGAGUGUGAGAAUGGAAAGUUCAGACUGUGACGGUACUUAACCAGAAAGGGACGGCUAACUACGUGCCAGCAGCCGCGGUAAUACGUAGGUCCCGAGCGUUGUCCGGAUUUAUUGGGCGUAAAGCGAGCGCAGGCGGUUAGAUAAGUCUGAAGUUAAAGGCAGUGGCUCAACCAUUGUAGGCUUUGGAAACUGUUAAACUUGAGUGCAGAAGGGGAGAGUGGAAUUCCAUGUGUAGCGGUGAAAUGCGUAGAUAUAUGGAGGAACACCAGUGGCGAAGGCGACUCUCUGGUCUGUAACUGACGCUGAGGCUCGAAAGCGUGGGUAGCAAACAGG